rnacentral:pre_miRNA from 1 species
AAUAAACCAAUUUUUCACUUUUUAUCUUCAAUUUUUAACUCUUCAUCUUAUUCAAUUUUUUUUUGCGAUUGAUAUUUUUAUUUUUAUUAGAUGAUAAAUUAUAAAUAGUACUUUACGUGUGACUAAUUUUUUUAAUUUUUUACAAAAUUUUCAAAUAAGAUGAAUGGUCAAACGUUGGAUAUAGAAACU